UACGUAGGGUGCAGGCGUUAAUCGGAAUUACUGGGCGUAAAGCGUGCGCAGGCGGCUCCUUAAGUCAGAUGUGAAAGCCCCGGGCUUAACCUGGGAACUGCGUUUGAAACUGGGGAGCUAGAGUGUAGAAGAGGGGGGUGGAAUUCCAGGUGUAGCAGUGAAAUGCGUAGAUAUCGGGAAGAACACCCGUGGCGAAGGCGGCUCUCUGGGGACGGUACU
rnacentral:rRNA from 1 species